AUGGUGCAUGGGACUCUGGCUGUAGAGAAUCCUUACCAGUCUCAGCCCAAAAGCAGAGCGGGUCCCGUGGUGAAGCCAUCCGUGUCUCUGCUCUCUCCGUCCCCUCUGCAGCUGUGUGACGAAUCGGCCUCGCUGCUCUGCCUGCUGUCUGGCUACUCUCCACAGGGGGCGCUGGUUAGCUGGACAGUGGACGGCUCAGAGGUGAAGAACGGGGUUCUGACCAGCACAGAAGAAGAGAAGAACGGCCGUUACAGCCGCAGCAGCACCCUGACCCUCAGCAAAGACCUCUGGGAAAAGGGGGAGGAGUUCAGCUGUAAGGUCUCCCAUAACAACGUCAAUCAUCCAGUCACGUUCAGAAAGAGUCAGUGUGAAGGCUAGUGGAUCCAAGAUAGAGUUUAACAUAGAGCUGCUUCUGAUCCAUCUACA